rnacentral:rRNA from 1 species
UACGUAGGGAGCAAGCGUUGUCCGGAAUCAUUGGGCGUAAAGCGCGCGUAGGUGGCCCUGUAAGUCCGUUGUGAAAGUCAAAGGCUCAACCUUUGAAAGCCGAUGGAUACUGCAGGACUAGAGUACGGAAGAGGCGAGUGGAAUUCCUGGUGUAGCGGUGGAAUGCGUAGAGAUCAGGAAGAACACCGGUGGCGAAAGCGCUCUGCUAGGCCGCAACUGACACUGAGGGACGAAAGCUAGGGGAGCGAAUGGG